rnacentral:rRNA from 1 species
UGGGGAAUUUUGGACAAUGGGCGAAAGCCUGAUCCAGCAAUGCCGCGUGUGUGAAGAAGGCCUUCGGGUUGUAAAGCACUUUUGUCCGGAAAGAAAUCCUUGGCUCUAAUACAGUCGGGGGAUGACGGUACCGGAAGAAUAAGCACCGGCUAACUACGUGCCAGCAGCCGCGGUAAUACGUAGGGUGCAAGCGUUAAUCGGAAUUACUGGGCGUAAAGCGUGCGCAGGCGGUUUGCUAAGACCGAUGUGAAAUCCCCGGGCUCAACCUGGGAACUGCAUUGGUGACUGGCAGGCUAGAGUAUGGCAGAGGGGGGUAGAAUUCCACGUGUAGCAGUGAAAUGCGUAGAGAUGUGGAGGAAUACCGAUGGCGAAGGCAGCCCCCUGGGCCAAUACUGACGCUCAUGCACGAAAGCGUGGGGAGCAAACAGGAUUAGAUACCCUGGUAGUCCACGCCCUAAAACGAUGUCAACUAGUUGUUGGGGAUUCAUUUCCUUAGUAACGUAGCUAACGCGUGAAGUUGACCGCCUGGGGAGUACGGUCGCAAGAUUUAAAACUUAAAGGAAUUGACGGGGUCAUAGCUGUUUCCU